rnacentral:rRNA from 1 species
UGGAUGAUGUGGUUAAUUCGAUGCAACGCGAAAACCUUACCCACCUUUGACAUGUACGGAACCUUUAGAGAUAGAGGGGUGCUCGAAAGAGAGCCGUAACACAGGUGCUGCAUGGCUGUCGUCAGCUCGUGUCGUGAGAUGUUGGGUUAAGUCCCGCAACGAGCGCAACCCUUGUCAUUAGUUGCUACAUUCAGUUGGGCACUCUAAUGAGACUGCCGGUGACAAGCCGGAGGAAGGUGGGGGUGACGUCAAAUCAUCAUGCCCCUUAUGACCUGGGCUACACACGUGCUACAAUGGUUGGUACAACGAGUUGCGAGUCGGUGACGGCGAGCUAAUCUCUUAAAGCCAAUCUCAGUUCGGAUUGUAGGCUGCAACUCGCCUACAUGAAGUCGGAAUCGCUAGUAAUCGCGGAUCAGCACGCCGCGGUGAAUACGUUCCCGGGCCUU